rnacentral:rRNA from 1 species
UUGCCUAGUAACGGCGAGUGAAGCGGCAACAGCUCAAAUUUGAAAGCUAGCCUUCGGGUUCGCAUUGUAAUUUGUAGAGGAUGAUUUGGGGAAGCCGCCUGUCUAAGUUCCUUGGAACAGGACGUCAUAGAGGGUGAGAAUCCCGUAUGUGACAGGAAAUGGCACCCUAUGUAAAUCUCCUUCGACGAGUCGAGUUGUUUGGGAAUGCAGCUCUAAAUGGGAGGUAAAUUUCUUCUAAAGCUAAAUAUUGGCGAGAGACCGAUAGCGCACAAGUAGAGUGAUCGAAAGAUGAAAAGCACUUUGGAAAGAGAGUUAAAAAGCACGUGAAAUUGUUGAAAGGGAAGCGCUUGCAAUCAGACUUGUUUAAACUGUUCGGCCGGUCUUCUGACCGGUUUACUCAGUUUGGACAGGCCAGCAUCAGUUUCGGCGGCCGGAUAAAGGCUCUGGGAAUGUGGCCUUCACUUCGGUGGAGGUGUUAUAGCCCAGGGUGUAAUACGGCCAGCCGGGACUGAGGUCCGCGCUUCGGCUAGGAUGCUGGCGUAAUGGUUGUAAGCGACCCGUCUUGAAACACGGACC